rnacentral:rRNA from 1 species
CCUACGGGAGGCAGCAGUGGGGAAUAUUGCACAAUGGGGGAAACCCUGAUGCAGCGACGCCGCGUGAGCGAGGAAGUAUUUCGGUAUGUAAAGCUCUAUCAGCAGGGACGAAAAAAGACGGUACCUGACUACGAAGCCUCGGCUAACUACGUGCCAGCAGCCGCGGUAAUACGUAGGGGGCAAGCGUUAUCCGGAUUUACUGGGCGUAAAGUGAGCGUAGACGGCAAGGCAAGCCAGAAGUGAAAGGGCAGGGCUCAACCCUGUACAUGCUUUUGGAACUGUGGUGCUAGAGUGUAGGAGAGGUAAGUGGAAUUCCUGGUGUAGCGGUGAAAUGCGUAGAUAUUAGGAGGAACACCAGUGGCGAAGGCGACUUACUGGACUGUAACUGACGUUGAGGCGCGAAAGCGUGGGGAGCAAACAGGAUUAGAUACCCCGGUAGUC